AAGAAUUGAUUACAGAGAUUACUUUAGUAAUAGAAACACUAAGUUGUUACCAUCACUCGUGUCCUAUCUGUAAUUUUAAAAGUAAAAUUGUAGGUCAAAUUCUUCAUUUUAUAGCGGAGUGAACAAUCAAUCACAUCCAAAUUUUGGAUUAUUCUAUGUCAAAUUCAAGCUGUCAUUUUGUAUUUGAUUUGACAUAAAAUAAAUGUUUUUAACGUCAGUCUGUCAUAACGAGUCCUACGUCAUUCUCAGCUGAUAGUGUAAAAGUUUAAACCUUGCAUAAAGUUUAAAUCUUAUUAUUGAUUUAUUAUUAUUUUGUAUUAGAAACAACAAUUUACAAUAAAACAUAUUUAAUACAAAAUGAAAUUUACAAAAAAAUAAAGUCCAAUGAUUAAUUAAUAAUUAGAUGUUAUUUGUUAUCAUCUGUUCUAAGUUCUUAGUCUUGACAACAAAAUAAAUUCGCUUUUUUAUCUAUUUAUUUAUUUUAUUGUUUUAAAGUUUUGUUCGGAAUGCGGCUGUUAUACAAAGAGAUACUACUACAAAGCCGGAGAACUUUUAAAAAAUUUGGCCACAAACAACAGCCAGUGCCAGCUAUAACAGUCCUCUGGCACGGAUUUCUUACGUUUACAUUUAUUGGAAUGGGAAUUAAUUGGAAAAGAAUUUCAAGAUUCAUGUUCGGUGAAGAACCCAAUCAAGAACAGACAUCACCUUUAUCGUUAAAAUAGAUGUAGGUGUUUCAUAUAAUUUUUCAUGACACAAUAAAUUAUCUUUAUUGUAAUUAAUAGAAUAUAACCUAUAGUAACAAAAGUACAUAUUGUUGAUACUUAUUCAGAAGUAAAUAGUUAAUCAAUAAUUCUA